GACGAACGCUGGCGGCAUGCUUUACACAUGCAAGUCGAACGGCAGCGCGGGGGCAACCCUGGCGGCGAGUGGCGAACGGGUGAGUAAUGUAUCGGAACGUAUCCUGUAAUGGGGGAUAACCAGUCGAAAGAUUGGGUAAUACCGCAUACGCACGAGAGUGGAAAGUAGGGGAUCGCAAGACCUUACGUUAUAGGAGCGGCCGAUAUCUGAUUAGCUAGUUGGUGGGGUAAAGGCCUACCAAGGCGACGAUCAGUAGCUGGUCUGAGAGGACGACCAGCCACACUGGGACUGAGACACGGCCCAGACUCCUACGGGAGGCAGCAGUGGGGAAUUUUGGACAAUGGGGGCAACCCUGAUCCAGCCAUGCCGCGUGAGUGAAGAAGGCCUUCGGGUCGUAAACCUCUGUCAUGGGGGAAGAAGCAAGUGACGGUACCCCAAGAGGAAGCCCCUGCUAACUACGUG
rnacentral:rRNA from 1 species